UGCGAGGCCCGGGCAGCAUCGGCGGCGUGGUCAGAGCGAGUCUCGGAGAAGAUGUGGUGGCUUCCGUUUGUUGGUGGAGGAGGUGGCAGGCCUCGGCGGGUAACCCAGAGAACACAGCCGAAGUGGAAUGUGGGGACGUCUGCGACACCGGGGACAGAGCAACUGUGGAUGAAGAGGGCUACAUCUGGUUCCUGGGGAGGAGUCAUGACACUAUCAAUGCCUCUGGGUGGUGAAGGCAUUGAUUGUCCUGACCCCACAGUUUCUGUCCCAUGACAAGGACCAGCUGACUAAGGAGCUGCAGCAGCAUGUAAAGUCAGUGACAGCCCCAUAAUGAAUACAACCAAUCAAGACAGAUAACGCCAAGUGCUG
rnacentral:lncRNA from 1 species